rnacentral:lncRNA from 1 species
CGCUGUCAGUCACUCUCAUUGGUUUCUUAGCUGUUAAUUGUGAACAGUGUGUACAAAACAUGGAUACGCAAUUGCGCUAUUUGCUUAUAAAUUACUCUUGUGUCGCAUGUCAUGAUGAUGUGGGAAUAGCUAGCCUUUUCAUCCACCCUAACAGUUACUGAGCCUACUUUAUACAAGUUGAUAGUCAGAUACGGAAUGAGAUGAAAAGUGUCCGCAUAUCUUUCAA